ACCCCUAUCGCUCCUUCUGAGGAGGAGGUAAUCAAUAUGAGUCCUCGCCGCCGAACUCUUGAGGGUGACCAAAUGCUCCUCCCUCUUCUGAAAAGUCGAGUUCACAAUCAGAAGCUCGGAAGCCCUAGAGAAAUCAAGCAGUGACGUGUCUCCUCCGUUCCUAACCCCAAAGCCGAAGCCACCGUGCACCUCACCAUAACCACCAGCA
rnacentral:lncRNA from 1 species